rnacentral:rRNA from 1 species
AUUGAACGCUGGCGGCAGGCUUAACACAUGCAAGUCGAGCAGAGCGAGGGUGCUUGCACCUUAGCUUAGCGGCGGACGGGUGAGUAAUGCUUAGGAAUCUGCCUAUUAGUGGGGGACAACAUUCCGAAAGGAAUGCUAAUACCGCAUACGCCCUACGGGGGAAAGCAGGGGAUCUUCGGACCUUGCGCUAAAAGAUGAGCCUAAGUCGGAUUAGCUAGUUGGUGGGGUAAAGGCCUACCAAGGCGACGAUCUGUAGCGGGUCUGAGAGGAUGAUCCGCCACACUGGGACUGAGACACGGCCCAGACUCCUACGGGAGGCAGCAGUGGGGAAUAUUGGACAAUGGGCGGAAGCCUGAUCCAGCCAUGCCGCGUGUGUGAAGAAGGCCUUUUGGUUGUAAAGCACUUUAAGCGAGGAGGAGGCUCUUAAGGUUAAUACCCUUGAUGAGUGGACGUUACUCGCAGAAUAAGCACCGGCUAACUCUGUGCCAGCCGCCGCAGUAAGAC